rnacentral:rRNA from 1 species
UACGGAGGGUGCAAGCGUUGUUCGGAAUUAUUGGGCGUAAAGCGCGCGCAGGCGGUCGAAAAAGUCUAUGGGUCAAAGGCCGGGGCUCAACCCCGCGUACGCCCAGGAUACUGUUCGACUGGAGACACGUAGAGGCAAGCGGAAUUUCGGGUGUAGCGGUGGAAUGCGUAGAUAUCCGAAAGAACACCGGAGGCGAAGGCGGCUUGCUGGGCGUGAUCUGACGCUGAGGCGCGAAAGCGUGGGGAGCGAACAGG